rnacentral:rRNA from 1 species
AUUGAACGCUGGCGGCGUGCUUAACACAUGCAAGUCGAGCGGCAGCGCGGGGGCAACCCUGGCGGCGAGCGGCGAACGGGUGCGUAAUGCAUGGGAAUCUGCCUAGUAGUGGGGAAUAACCCGGCGAAAGCCGGGCUAAUGCCGCAUACGACCUACGGGUGAAAGCGGGGGAUCGCAAGACCUCGCGCUAUUAGAUGAGCCCAUGUCGGAUUAGCUAGUUGGUGGGGUAAUGGCCUACCAAGGCGACGAUCCGUAGCUGGUCUGAGAGGACGGCCAGCCACACUGGGACUGAGACACGGCCCAGACUCCUACGGGAGGCAGCAGUGGGGAAUUUUGGACAAUGGGGGCAACCCUGAUCCAGCGACGCCGCGUGUGUGAAGAAGGCCUGCGGGUUGUAAAGCACUUUCGUUGGGAACGAAAUAUGCCGACCUAAUACGUCGGUAGGCUGACGU